UACAGAGGUCCCAAGCGUUGUUCGGAUUCACUGGGCGUAAAGGGUGCGUAGGCGGCUUUCUAAGUCGGAUGUGAAAACUCUGGGCUCAACCCAGAGCCUGCAUCUGAAACUGGAAAGCUAGGGUUCUGGAGGGGAAAGCGGAAUUCCUGGUGUAGCGGUGAAAUGCGCAGAUAUCAGGAGGAACACCAAUUGCGAAGGCAGCUCGCUGGGACGUUACUGACGCUGAGACGCGAAAGCGUGGGGAGCAAACAGG
rnacentral:rRNA from 1 species